UGUCCACAUGAAUAGAUAGAAUGGACUGGUUGAUCUAGAUUAAAAUAUAAAGGAAAGAACAUACAAAAAGAUGUUUUUUUUUUUAAAUAUAGUUUUUAAAGUAUGGUAUUUGACUUUCCUGCAAUAAUUGGUACUUGUUAUCACUCUCCCUCCUUGAAACAUUCACCUGUUUUCCAUGACACCACACUGGCUGGUUUCUCUCCUGCUUCUUUGGUCCCUCAUUCUCAAUCUCUUGAGGCCUCUUAUUUCUUAUUUGUCCUUCAGGGCCCUGUCCCUCUGCCUACUCCUCAGUACACUCUCCCUAGGUAAUUUAAUUUGUUUACAAGGCCUCAGUUACCAUUUACAAGGUAACAGGGCAUUUCGAAAUCAGUUCUCCUCCUGAGCUAUACACUUGACUAUCCGUAGACCUACUGGAAAUCCCAGAUGCCUAAAAACAUAAUCCCAUACUAAACUCGUUUCUUCCCUCUCAAAUCUUUUUCCUGCUCUGAGAUCGCAUGUCAGUAAACUGGCAUCAUCAGCCAUCCAGCUGUUGACUCCCCACUUCUCCCUGGAUUAAACGAAACGUACAAGUUCUGGCCUGCAUCUUUCCAUAGAGGGGGAUUCGGGAAAAUUAAGAAGCCAGAAAUUGCGCAUAUUGAAGGCACUUUCAAAAAGUCACUGUCCUCUACACAACGUGACUUUCUCCAUUGUCUUCCAGGCACCUGCAGGAAUCCAAUUCCCAUCAUUCUUCUCUGGCGCGGCCCUCCUCCUCCCUAGACAGCAGGGCAGGGUAGGACUGGACCCAACACAGACCUAGGCACCGACCCUUACUUAGCUCAGCAGCCAAAUGAAGGAGGAGGUCGCUCCACUUCUACCUUCAGAAGGCUGUCUCCUGCGAGGACCAGAAGUUGAGCCAAGGCACAUGGAACUUACAAUAGCAGAUGGUAAGAACCAGGGCAGAAGGAGAACUCCUGAAGCCUCCGAAGGAAGGAAAUCAUUACAGGGCCCUACAGAAGUAGGUCAUGUGCUACAGCUGCUCAUAGUUUAAGAGGAAGAAACAUGGGAUCUCAAACCUGGAACACGACUCUUUCAAAAUGCUUGUGAGCAACCCAAGAAAAACAUCCUCCUGAGGCUUAUCUAAUAACCAUGAUCUCUAAUCGUCUCAAUGUGUGCUCAUGUUUCCUUAGGAGUUUGCACCCACUUCUCAGAGCUAACGAGAUGCCGAAACAGAACACAGAAAAAAGUAAUGAAGGAGAUUUAAUAGUUUGUGUUAAAGCUAAUAUGGUCCAUUAGGGGCUGUCAUUUUUAUAAACAGUGAGGAUACGUUACCCUCUUCUUUGGUGUAAAGUCAUUCCGUGCAGGACCUGUAAACAUUCAGUAAUGAUCUGUAGAACAUGCAUGAACGACAAUUAAAGCACCACUUGAAAAGUCUGUUUUCCUCACAUAUUUGUUUUCUUGCUAAAUAAACUUGUAAAGUUCAUACAUGUGUACGCAUAUGCUUACAUUAUAAAAAAAGUGUGCAUUUCAUUAAGAACAUCUACGAACAGAUAUAAGUGUUUUUGGUUCCCAUUAGCUUGAGAAAUAUCAGAAGUGAUUAGUUAAAUGAGGAGCAUAGGUUCUGUUUUUUAGUGCAUACUAUAAUAAUAAAACAACCACUCUUUUAUGGUAGCUUAGCAAGACAAAAUUAUAGUUCACAAUGUCAUGAAAGGCAUGAUUACAACCUUUGAAAGUUACAAGUAAAAAAGCUUCUAUAAAACCUAUCUGUUGCCAAAAAAUUAUGUUCUACAGUGAUUCAGAUAUAUUUCUGAAAUUUAUUUUUUAAUUGUGGCUGAUACCAA
rnacentral:lncRNA from 1 species